AUGAACGCUAGCUACAGGCUUAACACAUGCAAGUCGAGGGGCAGCAUUUUAGUUUGCUUGCAAACUGAAGAUGGCGACCGGCGCACGGGUGAGUAACACGUAUCCAACCUGCCGAUAACUCCGGAAUAGCCUUUCGAAAGAAAGAUUAAUACCGGAUAGCAUACGAAUAUCGCAUGAUAUUUUUAUUAAAGAAUUUCGGUUAUCGAUGGGGAUGCGUUCCAUUAGUUUGUUGGCGGGGUAACGGCCCACCAAGACAACGAUGGAUAGGGGUUCUGAGAGGAAGGUCCCCCACAUUGGAACUGAGACACGGUCCAAACUCCUACGGGAGGCAGCAGUGAGGAAUAUUGGUCAAUGGGCGAGAGCCUGAACCAGCCAAGUAGCGUGAAGGAUGAAGGCUCUAUGGGUCGUAAACUUCUUUUAUAUGGGAAUAAAGUUUUCCACGUGUGGAAUUUUGUAUGUACCAUAUGAAUAAGGAUCGGCUAACUCCGUGCCAGCAGCCGCGGUAAUACGGAGGAUCCGAGCGUUAUCCGGAUUUAUUGGGUUUAAAGGGAGCGUAGGUGGAUUGUUAAGUCAGUUGUGAAAGUUUGCGGCUCAACCGUAAAAUUGCAGUUGAAACUGGCAGUCUUGAGUACAGUAGAGGUGGGCGGAAUUCGUGGUGUAGCGGUGAAAUGCUUAGAUAUCACGAAGAACUCCGAUUGCGAAGGCAGCUCACUAGACUGUCACUGACACUGAUGCUCGAAAGUGUGGGUAUCAAACAGGAUUAGAUACCCUGGUAGUCCACACAGUAAACGAUGAAUACUCGCUGUUUGCGAUAUACAGUAAGCGGCCAAGCGAAAGCAUUAAGUAUUCCACCUGGGGAGUACGCCGGCAACGGUGAAACUCAAAGGAAUUGACGGGGGCCCGCACAAGCGGAGGAACAUGUGGUUUAAUUCGAUGAUACGCGAGGAACCUUACCCGGGCUUAAAUUGCAACAGAAUAUAUUGGAAGCAGUAUAGCCGUAAGGCUGUUGUGAAGGUGCUGCAUGGUUGUCGUCAGCUCGUGCCGUGAGGUGUCGGCUUAAGUGCCAUAACGAGCGCAACCCUUAUCUUUAGUUACUAACAGGUGAUGCUGAGGACUCUAGAGAGACUGCCGUCGUAAGAUGUGAGGAAGGUGGGGAUGACGUCAAAUCAGCACGGCCCUUACGUCCGGGGCUACACACGUGUUACAAUGGGGGGUACAGAAGGCGGCUACCUGGUGACAGGAUGCUAAUCCCAAAAACCUCUCUCAGUUCGGAUCGAAGUCUGCAACCCGACUUCGUGAAGCUGGAUUCGCUAGUAAUCGCGCAUCAGCCAUGGCGCGGUGAAUACGUUCCCGGGCCUUGUACACACCGCCCGUCAAGCCAUGAAAGCCGGGGGUACCUGAAGUACGUAACCGCAAGGAGCGUCCUAGGGUAAAACUGGUAAUUGGGGC
rnacentral:rRNA from 1 species